rnacentral:rRNA from 1 species
UGGGGAAUCUUCCGCAAUGGACGAAAGUCUGACGGAGCAACGCCGCGUGAGUGAAGAAGGACUUCGGGUUGUAAAGCUCUGUGAUCCGGGACGAAAGAGCCUGAGGUAAAUAGCCUAAGGAAGUGACGGUACCGGAAAAGCAAGCCACGGCUAACUACGUGCCAGCAGCCGCGGUAAUACGUAGGUGGCAAGCGUUGUCCGGAAUUAUUGGGCGUAAAGCGCGCGCAGGCGGCUUACUAAGUCCAUCUUAAAAGUGCGGGGCUUAACCCCGUGAUGGGAUAGAAGCUGGAAAGCUGGGGUAUCGGGGGGGAAAGUGGAAUUCCUAGUGUAGCGGUGAAAUGCGUAAAGAUUAAGAAGAACACCGGUGGAGGAGGCGACUUUCUGGUCGAAAAAUGACGCUGAGGCGCGAAAGCGUGAGGAGCAAGCAGG